rnacentral:rRNA from 1 species
UUGACCUCGAAUCAGGUAGGGAUACCCGCUGAACUUAAGCAUAUCAAUAAGCGGAGGAAAAGAAACCAACCGGGAUUACCUCAGUAACGGCGAGUGAAGCGGUAACAGCUCAAAUUUGAAAUCUGGCUCUUCCGGAGUCCGAGUUGUAAUUUGUAGAAGAUGCUUUGGGAGGUAGGGCCGGCCUAAGUUCCUUGGAACAGGACAUCAGAGAGGGUGAGAAUCCCGUAUGUGGCCGUGGCCUACGCCCGUGUAAAGCUCUUUCGACGAGUCGAGUUGUUUGGGAAUGCAGCUCAAAAUGGGUGGUAAAUUUCAUCUAAAGCUAAAUAUUGGCCAGAGACCGAUAGCGCACAAGUAGAGUGAUCGAAAGAUGAAAAGCACUUUGGAAAGAGAGUUAAACAGUACGUGAAAUUGUUGAAAGGGAAGCGCUUGCAACCAGACUUGGGCGUCGUCGAUCAUCCGGGGUUCUCCUCGGUGCACUCGACGAGGCACAGGCCAGCAUCGGUUUGGAUGGUUGGAGAAAGGCCCUAGGAACGUAGCUCUCUUCGGGGAGUGUUAUAGCCUAGAGCGCAAUGCAGCCCAUCCGGACCGAGGACCGCGCCUUUGGCUAGGAUGCUGGCGUAAUGGUUGCAAGCGACCCGUCUUGAAACACGGACCAAGGAGUCUAACAUCUAUGCGAGUGUUUGGGCGUUAAACCCAUACGCGGAAUGAAAGUGAACGUAGGUGAGAACCCGUCAGGGUGCAUCAUCGACCGAUCC